rnacentral:rRNA from 1 species
GAUGAACGCUGGCGGCGUGCCUAAUACAUGCAAGUCGAGCGAACGGACGAGAAGCUUGCUUCUCUGAUGUUAGCGGCGGACGGGUGAGUAACACGUGGAUAACCUACAUAUAAGACUGGGAUAACUUCGGGAAACCGUAGCUAAUACCGGAUAAUAUUUUGAACCGCAUGGUUCAAAAGUGAAAGACAGUCUUGCUGUCACUUAUAGAUGGAUCCGCGCUGCAUUAGCUAGUUGGUAAGGUAACGGCUUACCAAGGCAACGAUGCAUAGCCGACCUGAGAGGGUGAUCGGCCACACUGGAACUGAGACACGGUCCAGACUCCUACGGGAGGCAGCAGUAGGGAAUCUUCCGCAAUGGGCGAAAGCCUGACGGAGCAACGCCGCGUGAGUGAUGAAGGUCUUCGGAUCGUAAAACUCUGUUAUUAGGGAAGAACAUAUGUGUAAGUAACUGUGCACAUCUUGACGGUACCUAAUCAGAAAGCCACGGCUAACUACGUG